GAAAAAAAUAAGUUUAGGAACCAGUUGAUAACAGCUUAUAUUAUUUAAGCUGAUGGAAAUCAUGUGUAGUAUUCGUGAAAUAAAGUAACUAGAACAAUUUAAUUCCAGGCCUUGUCGAGAUAAGCCACGUUGUGCCAAGGAGAAGAGUUAUUGAAGAAAAAAACAAGCAACUCACAGUGAUGGGUUAGAAAUUUGUGGCAACCUUUGGAUGAAAACUUAACCAAAGAAAUAAAAGAUAUCGUUGGAAUAAACCACGGAUAAUACGUUCGCCAAACUCUAAACUGCAAUGCUGCAAUAUACACACGACGUGGUUCUUUAUGUUUAUAAUUAUAAAAAUAUAUGCAUGAGAAUUUUGCGUGUGUUUUAAUUGUGCACAUCUUUUUCCCGCGCAUUUAUUUUCGCAAACCGAACGUUUGGGACAGAUUUUCGCGCACUUCUUACUGGUGAAAUAGAAUAAAAUUACCAUGUACUGUUUUGUGUGACUGUGAAAUGCUUAAUCACUCUUUGAUUAAUGCAAAGCGAGCAUUACAAUUCCACAGCAAUUAUGCAUGUUGUCUUAAAAAAAGAAAACAACUCCAUUUGCAGUUUCGCUCAAUCUAAUUUUUACAGGCAAUCUAAUCCUUACAAAUAAUAUUCCACGUGCAUUAAUUAUAAUUUAUGAAACAAUUCAGCUUCUCUCGAACAUAUUGGCACACUGGUAGAACUCCUUUAUUAAAACUUUUAAUAUUUUCAACCUUACUAAAGGCACCGAAAUGAAGAGGAUUUUUUGCAUUGAAACAUUCGAGCAAAAUAACUGGUUGGGUUCCAAUUUCCAGCCAUUUGACUCCAAUUUCAGUUGUUAAAGUAUUUCUGCUCGUGUAGGGUACUGUAAGGAAUUUUGGUCCACUGGUAGAUCUAUUAAUGGGAAACCUUAAAUAUUAUAAACCUUGCGGGGAUCUAAAAGCUCCUACAUGUUAGAACGCUUCACACUUGAGCAUCGUUA